ensembl:lncRNA
UUUUUAUAACAGCUUUAUUGAGAUAUAAUUGACAUACAAUAAGCAGCACAUAUUUAAAUUAUACGAUUUGAUAUGUUUUGACGCAUGUAUACAUCCCUGAAACCUUUGCCCCAGACUAGAUCAUGAACAUAUCCAUCACCUCCAAAAGUUUCCUUAUCUGUAUCUGUAGUUCAUUUCUUUUUAUGCUGAGUAAUAGUUCAUUGUAUGAACAUAUCACAACUUAUUUUGCCAUUCACCUGCUAAUGAACGUUUGGAUUGUUUCAAAUUUUGGCUAAUUACAUAUAGAGUUGCAUUCAUUUACGAGUCUGUGGGUAGACACAGGCUUUCAGGUGUCUUGGGUAAAUACCUACUAGUGGGAUGUCUAGGCUGUAAUGUGAGUGUAGAUCUUUACAAGGAACUACCUGGCACCAGAUGUGGCCAUGAGAGUGCGGGACUCCCCUGGAGAGGAAUGAGGGUGGAGGUCAGAGUCAGGGGUCUCCUACACCCUCUGUUUACCUUCUCAGGCUCGAUGGUCAACUCCUGGAGGUCUAUGGCUGGCAUCUCAAUAGGGCCUAUUCCUUCUUAGAGAUGCCCUCCUCCCCAUAGCAGGAGUUCCCAUAUCCCUGUGGGCAUCAAAAUUUCCUGGAGAGCCUUUUAUUUAUUUAUUUAUUUAUUUAGUUUGAGAUGGAGUCUCUGUCUCGCUCGUUGCCCAGGCUGGAGUACAGUGGCACAAUCUUGGUUCACUGCAACUUCCACCUCCCAGGUUCAAGCCAUUCUCAUGCCUCAGCCUCCCUAGUAGCUGGGACUACAGGUGCAUGCCACUACGCCUGGCUUUUUUUUUUGUAUUAUUAGUAGAGACGAGAUUUCACCAUGUCAGCCAGGCUGGUCUCAAACUCCUGACCCCAGGUGAUCCGCCUGCCUCAGCCUCCCAAAGUGCUGGGAUUACAGGGGAUUACAGGUGUGAACCACCACAUCUGGCCCCGGGAGCUUUAAACACUGUAGAUUCCUUAGGCAUGAGCUGACAGGAGUGAAAUUAAAUAAAUAAAUAAGUAAAUAAAUAAACAUUGUAGGCUGGGUACGGUGGCUCCCACAUGUAAUCCCAGCACUUUGGGAGGUUGAGGCCGGAGUGUUGCUUGAUCCCGCGAGUUCGAGACCAGCCUGGGGCAAAACCCUGUCUCUACUAAACAUACAAAAAUUAGUUGGGCAUGGUAGCUCACGCCUGUAAUCCCAGCUACUCGGGAGGCUAAGGAGAAUUGCUUGAACCCUGGAAGCAGUGGUUGCAGUGAGCUGACAUUGUGCCACUGCACUCCAGCCUGGGCAACAGAGCAAGACUCCGUCUCAAAAUAAAUAAAAAAAUAAAAAUACAAAAAAUUAGCCUGGUGUGGUGGCAUGCACCUGUGACCCCAGCUACUCAGGAGGCUGAGAUGAGAGGAUCACUUGAGCUUGGGAAGUUGAGGCUCAGUGAGCCGUGAUUGUGCCACUGCACUCCAGCCUGAGUGACAAGAGUGAGACCCUGUCUCCUAAAAAAAACCACAUAAAUAAAAAUAAACGCUGCAGAUUUCUGGGCCCCAUCUGAGACCUGCUGACUUAGAAUGUUGCUGGGUAGGACUGCAGAAUUUGUUCUUUUAAGUGCCCUUUGUGAUUCUGCCAUAUUAACAGGAAGGAACUCCUCACCUGCCAGGUCAGUUUAAAACCUCAAGCAAGGCAUUUCCGGCCUUUUGCCAUCCGGCCCCCAUGUCCUGUGCAGGCUCACACGUUGCCCUCACCCAGACAUGCAGUCUCAUGAAACUCCUCUAUGUUCCCAACAUUUUCAGGCUCUCUCACAUCCGAGUCUUCACACUAGUUCGUCUUUCUAUAUCCCCCUUGUCUACCUGGGAAACUUCCACACUGACCUCUGAGGCCAGCUAAAACACUAUUUCCUCUGGGAAGCCUUCCACAUUCUUCUUCCAACCAGCCAGUCAGAAGUAGUUUCUCUUUCCUGUGAGUCUCCCAGCACCUCCCACCAUUCUAUAUCCCAGCAUGCAUCACUCUGUCCCAUAAUUAUUUAGUGAUGCCAGUGUCAAACAGUUUGUAUAGCUUGCCUUGUUUCAGGUCCCCAGGUACUUCUGAGGUAGAUGAUGAUGAUGUUAUGAUCAUGACGAUAAAAGCAAAGGUUGAGCAUGUGAAAAGUUUGCUCAAAGAAUUCUACAUAUGGACCGGGCACAGUGGCUCAUGCCUGUAAUCCCAGCACUUUGGGAGGCGGAGGCAGGUAGAUCACCUGAGGUCAGGAGUUCGAGACCAGCCUGGCCAACAUGGUAAAACCCCGACUCUACUAAAAAUACAAAAAUUAGCUGGGCGUGGUGGCAGGCACCUGUAAUUCCAGCUACUCAGGAGCCUGAGGCAAGAGAAUCGCUUGAACCAGGGGGUGGAGGUUGCAGUGAGCCGAGAUCGCGCCACUUC